rnacentral:lncRNA from 1 species
UUAGGGUUGGCCCUGACCUAGUUUGACCAGUGUCCUUAUGAAAACGCAGAAGUUGGACAAAGACACACCCACAGGGAAAGCACCAUGAGAAGAUGACGGCAGAGAUCUGGGCGACGCGUCUACAAGCCAAGCGACACCAAAGGUGGCCAGCAGCCCAUGUGAAGCUGGAGGAGAGGCCUCGAAUAAAUGCUCCCUUACAGCGUUCAGGGGGAACUGACCCUGUCCACACCUUGACCUUGAACUUCUGGGCUCCAGAACUGUGAGACAGCAUGUUCUGUUGUUGAAGGAGCAGCGUGGCUAGAGGAAUUCCUGCAGCUUAGAUUUCGCUGGCACUGUUACCACUCCCAGAGAGGAGCGGCUGGAGUUCACGGCUGGUUCCUGACAAACUUCCUAAUUAAUCUGCUAAAGAUCAGAGGAGGACUAAUAGGAGCUGAAGACUGUGUGCGAGACCACCCCUCCGCCCUCUCCCUUUGUGUGUGCACGUGUGUGUGUGUGUGUGUGUGAGCGCGUGCGCGCAUGUGGUGCUGAGCUUGGCGGGAGAGAGAUGGCCUCACCAGCGACAAAGCAUUCCUGCUGCUGUUGCUGCCACCUACCUUCCCUGCUUUGGGAGGAUACAUUUUCUCCUCUUGCUUAGAAGUUUCAGGGAGUCACCCAAGCCUUCUUCUCCCAGAUACAACGGUGGAAUAAAAUAUCUUCCAGCCAACAUAUUUUUUGGAGACGGAAUCUCACUCUGUCACCUGGUUGAAGUGCAGCAGCGCGAUCAUGGCUCACUGCAACCUCUGCCUCCCGGUUUCAAGUGAUUCUCCUGCCUCCGCCUCCCGAGUAGCUGGGAUUACAGGCAUGUGCCACCCACCACGCCUGGGUAAUUUUUGUAUUUUUACUAGAGACAGGGUUUCACUAUGUGGGCUGGGCUGGUCUCAAACUCCUGACCUCUGGUGAUCUGCCCACUUCGGCCUCUCAAAGUGCUGGGAUUACAGGCAUGAGCCCCCGCACCCGGUUGCAACCAACUUUUUUGUGGAAUAUAGGAUCUUGAUGUUUGGAUGCCUGAAGGCAGAAGCUGUUGCACAUGGAAUGGAUUAAAGUUUUCCCCUCUGCAACCAAAAAUCCUUGGGGUCCCAGGAGCAAAAGAUGCUCCAUGGCACAGGACAAUUCAAGAAGGCCCGAGGUGAUAUUGAAGACUGCAGAGACAUCCAGCUCAGUUGUGUCUCCGGAGGUGUCCAGACUUUGCAGACAGACGUUGCACAUAAAGAGCUGAAAAACUGAGGAAGCUGAGCUGGAGAAGGAAGUCACUUCUACUCAGACUUGACCUGCGUCUGAUGCUAUGGGGCCUCUUAGGGUUACCUCAUGCUUCAUGCACCCCUUUCUCUGUUCUUCAGCAGAAGGCAGGGUGUAGGGAAGCGGGACUGUGCCUCCUUUCUCCCUGCCAGGCCUGACUCUCCAGGCCAAGAGACACCAUUAAGGAGUAUAAUUUGUUGAUCCAGGCUCUCCUUGCGUUUCAGUGCAGAGUGGCAUCGUUUUCUUUAUGACCUCGUAAAGUCACAGCCGAGAGGCCGAUUUGGAAAACAAACUGCCUCAGGUUGACAGAUAAUUAGAUACAGGGGACAUAUUAUAUGCCUUUGCAUAUAAAUGUGCUCCGAGGCGUGUUGGUUCAUCUGAAGUUGAGGUUAAAGGCGCGCCAGGUAUUCCUGACACAUCAGGAUAUAUAUUUUCAUACAGUCUCAGGUGCUGUGUUGGUUUUAUAGGCCUUUCAUCCUGGUGCUGACGGAUGGGGUGUGAUUGUGACCCAACUUAGAAGAAAGGGACUUCCCUUGCCCAGGGGCCUCCUGGCGUUUUUGUUUUGUGUUCUCCCUCUCCACCCCCACUUUCUCUUCUUCCUUGGGAAGGGAACUGUUCUUUGGACCUAGGAUUCUGCCGUGAGUGACUAAUGGCCUGAGUAGGAGGGACCGGGACUCAUUUUUCUUUUCUGGACUCUAAUAGGCCCAAUUAAUUCAGCUACAACAUGGGCCCUUACAAGCCUGGGACAAGCCUGGGUGGAAUUCUAUAUUGAGGCAGGAUCUUGGCAGUGGACUGCCACGGGAGCUCUGGGGAAAAAGGACCAGUUGGACUCCAGUACCUCCUGAGAGACCACCACCCUCCAUGCCUCCAGCUCAUGCCCAGCUCUGAGUCAGACGGACUCUUCCUGUUGUACUGCGAGGUUCUGCAAACCUUGAAGGGCAAACACAGUGAGGGUCUCUGACUUGCUGUGUGGACAGCCCACUCUCUGACAGCCCAGAUCAUCUGAAGCUAUCCCUGGGCUGGGAGCUGGAAGCCAUUCUUGUGAACCACUCCUUAUACCUUGAGCGAAGCCUCUUUGGGUCCCAGAAGUCUGAAGCUCCAGCUGCCUGGCAAGACUGAGUCUAGAUGAUUUCUUGGGUACCAGUAGUUUGGCAUUUAAAAAUACUGGAUUAACUGCAGUGUAAACUUAGAUUGCAUUUCAGAUUGUAAACAAUAACCCCCGUGCUUCAUGUGAUGUUAAAUCAGAAAUGAGCUAUUAGCCAAGCUAGUCCUCUUAUGAAUGAGCCCCUAACCCUGAUCCAGGGAUCGUUGAAUGAAAAUCAUCAAAAUGAUUUAUCUUCACUUUACCUAUUGUCUCACAAGAAUCUCAUCACUCAGGGAAAAGGAGGGUGUUCUUCAGGGAACGGAGGGCAUGAGGAAGGGGGAUUUCCUUAUAUCUCAACUUUCAGAGGGAGCUGAGUUGUAAACAGAUGGAACAAGGUGUGUACGAGAAGCCUCUUAGAUUUAGUCUUUCAUAUCAAGGCUCUUGCUGAAAAUCCUGGCACAGCUGUGAAAUGAGGGGAGCUCUGACACACAGAGACACGCUCCUUGCCUCACCAACCUUCCCAUACACAGUCAUGCGCACAGAGAGCAGGUACCAAUACUGAAAAUGCCCUUCCGGAGUUUCCUCAGCUUAAACCCUUGACAGCAUUAAGUGAGGAAGGAGUUUCCUUGACCUGGGGAAGAAGAACCAACUCAUAAACAUGGAACUGUG